CAGCCGCCGCGGUAAUACGUAGGUGGCAAGCGUUAUCCGGAAUUACUGGGUGUAAAGGGAGCGUAGACGGUUAAACAAGUCUGAAGUGAAAUGCCGGGGCUCAACCCCGGAGCUGCUUUGGGAACUGUAGAACUGGAGUGUCGGAGGGGUAAGCGGAAUUCCCAGUGUAGCGGUGAAAUGCGUAGAUAUUGGGAGGAACACCGGCGGCGAAGGCGGCUUACUGGACGACAACUGACGUUGAGGCUCGAAGGCGUGGGUAGCAAACAGGAUCAGAUACCCGCGUAGUCCCUGUCUCUUAUAC
rnacentral:rRNA from 1 species